rnacentral:rRNA from 1 species
GACGAACGCUGGCGGCAUGCCUUACACAUGCAAGUCGAACGGUAACGGGCCUUCGGGUGCCGACGAGUGGCGAACGGGUGAGUAAUGUAUCGGAACGUACCUUUCAGUGGGGGAUAACGUAGCGAAAGUUACGCUAAUACCGCAUAUUCUGUGAGCAGGAAAGCAGGGGAUCGCAAGACCUUGCGCUGAUUGAGCGGCCGAUGUCAGAUUAGCUAGUUGGUGAGGUAAAGGCUCACCAAGGCGACGAUCUGUAGCGGGUCUGAGAGGAUGAUCCGCCACACUGGAACUGAGACACGGUCCAGACUCCUACGGGAGGCAGCAGUGGGGAAUUUUGGACAAUGGGGGCAACCCUGAUCCAGCCAUGCCGCGUGAGUGAAGAAGGCCUUCGGGUUGUAAAGCUCUUUCGGCCGGGAAGAAAUCGCACAGGCUAAUACCUUGUGUGGAUGACGGUACCGGAAUAAGAAGCACCGGCUAACUACGUGCCAGCCGCCGCGGUAACAC